rnacentral:rRNA from 1 species
CAAAAACAUGUCCUUUUGUUCAUAUUAUAUAAGGUCUGACCUGCUCAAUGAUUUUUAAUUAAAUGGCCGCGGUAUUUUAACUGUGCUAAGGUAGCAUAAUCAUUUGUCUUUUAAUUGAAGGCUAGAAUGAAUGGUUGGACGAGGUAUAAGCUUUCUUUAAUUUAAUUAUUGAAUUUAAUUUUUUAGUUAAAAAGCUAAAAUGUGUUUGGGGGACGAGAAGACCCUAUAGAUCUUUAUAUAUAAAUAUAUUAUGUAUUUUAGUGUAUAAAUUACUUUAAUAAGUUUAUUUAUUUGAUUGGGGUGAUUAUAGAAUAAUUAUAACUUCUAUUAUUAGUAUUCAUAAAUUAAUGUUUUGUUGAUCCAAUAUUAUUGAUUAAAAGAUUAAGUUACCUUAGGGAUAACAGCGUAAUUUUUUUGGAGAGUUCUUAUCAAUAAAAGAGUUUGCGACCUCGAUGUUGGAUUAAAAUAAGUAUUAAGUGCAGUAGCUUAAUUACUAGGUCUGUUCGACCUUUAAAAUAUUACAUGAUCUGAGUUCAA